rnacentral:sRNA from 1 species
UCUGCACUACUUUUAUCUUUUAUUUUCUUUCCUUUUCUUCUUACCUUCCUUCCUACUCUCCUUUAUUUUUGGAAGCUGCAUUCACCCUACUGGAAGAACCUAUUCUGAACAUAAAGUAAUUUGCCUCAUCCUGCUUAUCCCCAUGACAAAUAGGUUAAGUAGCAUCUGGUGAGACGAGAAAAGAGUAACUAUACAUUUACCCUUCUGCACCCUCAUCUUCUACCCAGCUGUCUCUCCUCCCUUUUCCUCUUUAUCACUAUUUUCCCCUUCUUUGGACCAACGAUUUAAACUGUUCUUAAAAUUUAUUAAAUAGAAGUGGACCUCCAGCAAUUUUUCUUGCUCCUAUAAUCUAAAGUAUUCAAACUCCUCACUUGAAACAUGAAAGAAAAUCAGGAUGUAAACCUUCCCCUUUUUAAACUUUUUUAUUUUCUAAACCAUCUUCCUCUGCAUUAAGUCAGUCUGCCACUCUAAACAGCACUUGUCAGGAAUGUGUGAAGUUAUUAAAACAGAAGGAACUUUAGAAGAUCUAAAUUCAAAUUACCUUGACUACCAUUCUUUAGUAAUAAAAGGGGAGAUAGAAAGAAGAUAGAAACCACCAGAUUUUCUAAAAUCUCCAGCAAUAUUCAUCCAUCUAAAGCAUCUGAGAAACAAUGACCCAAGUUAUAUUGGGAGAGAUAUUUUAGCUCUCUUGCCUGAAUCUAACUCACAGAAACUGGGGAAAUAUCAAAAAUCACUUAUUCUAAAUGUUUCGGUCAAGAAGUGUUUUGGAUUUCAGAUUUUGGAAUAUUUGCAUAUACAUAGUGAGAUAUCUUAGGGGUAGGACCCAAGUCUAAACACAAAAUUCAUUUAUGUUUUAUAUGCCCUUUAAACACCAUAGCCUGAAGUUAAUAUAAUAUUUUUAAUAGUUUUCUGCAUAAAACAAAGUUUUGACUGUUUGACUGUAACCCAUUACCUAAAGUCAGGUGUGGAAUUUUCCACUUGUUACCUGGAGUGCAUCAUGUUGGCAUUGAAAUAGUUUUGGAUUUUGGAGCAUCAGAUUUCAGAUUUUUGGAUUAAGGAUGUUCAACCUGUAUUUGAUAGCCUGGUGCUUUUCUCCUCAUAAUCACUCCAAUAAUUUUGAAAGGAUAAUCAUAAAGAUGACAACAAUUACAACAAAGAUGAUAAAAAAAAUUAAGCCACUUGGCAGCACUAUUUGUGGCCUCAUGAAAAUGACUCCCAAUGUCAUAAUUCCCUCUGAGAUCCCCACAAUAAAAAACUAUUGGAACUAGAACUGCAUACCACAGUUGUUGGUCAUUUCACAUGGUGCCAUGUUCAGGCAUAGCUGGUAUGAGUGCUAUUUGCUUUCAUCCAGGGGAGCCAUUCUCAGUAAGCUUCAUCUCUGUGCUGAUGAGAGCCUGGGUCUGUUCUUCUGGCCCAGGAUCUUCACAUCUCUCAAAGGACUGCAGCUCUCCUUAGAUAUUCUGUGUACCACAGGAAGGGGCUGUACCAAUUUACAGCAAUCUCUUUUCAACAUGGUAACUAAUGCAAGUAUUAGACCACAAGGCUUCUCUUUGGAAACUUGUCCAAAAGUUGUCAUCUCUGCUAUUCAUUCAUUCAUUCAUUUAGUCAACAAAUAUUUAUUAAGCAACAAAUGUGUGCAAGGUACUGUUCUUGGCAUAGUAAACAAAACAGAUUAAAAUUCCUGAUCUUGUGGAACUUGCAUUCUAAUAAGGGAGACAGACAAAUUUUUUUAAAAUGAAGUAAAAUAGAUAGGGCGAUAGGGAGUGCUGGGCCCAGGAAGAAAGGAUUACAAUGCUAAAUGUGAUAGUUAGGGAAGCCCUCAAAUUUGAACAAGGAUCCGUAGGAAGUGAAGUAUGUUGAUAUCUGGGGAAGAGGGAACAACAAAAGCAAAGGAAUUGAUACAGGAAUGUUGCUGGUGUCUGACAUAUGGCAAGCAGGUCUGGGUGGCCAGAGAGGAGUAAAGUAGGAAAAAAGGAAAAGUAGGUGGGGUUGGAAAAAUAAUGGGGAGCCAAGAUUGGGUAAGGUUUUGUAGGCUAUUGUAAGUACUUAGACUUCUACUAAGUGAUGGAAAGCAACUGAUAAAAGUUGACUUUCAAUUGGAAAGAGCCAUGAAAGUUGAUGGAUGGUCAACUUUUGACCUGAGGAAUGACAUGACCUAUUGUAGGUUUUAGAAAAGUCCUUCUGGUAGAUUUAAUGAACAUUCACUGAAAGAUAAAAAAGGGGGUAAUUGAAAUAAUCCAUGCAAGAGAUGAUUGUAGCUUGGAUAAGGAUGGUAGUAGAGGGGUGGUGAGAAGUGAUAAGAGUUUUGCUGAAGGAUUAUAAAUGGGGUGUAGGUAAGAAACCUCAAAGUUGAUACCAGGAUGUUUGAGCAGCUAGAUGGAUGAAGUUGACAUUUAUCGCAGGACAGUUCCCUAAAUGGCCCUGGACCCACCCAGUUCUCCCCCUUUCUUGUUUAUAGUUACCAAGAAUAACUGUAGAAUGUGCUGGGAAUGCAAUGUCCUGAGAUAAGGAAGAACUGCCUGAAACAGCCUGGAUGUUAUUCCUGUACUUCCUAGGGAAUGUAACAUCUCAAGUUAAAGAGGAACUGCCCGGAACAGCCCGGGGAUUGUUCCUCUCUCCUGAGAAGGAAGAUUACCUCCAAAGCUCAUCCAUUGAGUCACACUGCCCCUGUGGUGGAGGGAGGGCUGCCUUUCCAGGUUCCUCAGCUGUGGUGCAACUGAAGCAGGCACAAUCAAGACUCCAUCUGCUCGAGGCAGCUUUCUCGAACCUUGGGGAACCUACUCACAAUGGAUCACAGGCUUCUUUUGUUUUGUUUCUUGCUGCCUAUCUGUAAGUAAUUAACUUGCUUCAAGUAACGUGUUGCAUUAUGAGUGUGUUCUGUCUCAUAGACUCAGGGAAUUGGUAACACUGCAGCCGAGGACGCAGUGGACAGAAGUGUUCAUACUCCUGUUCCUUGUGGUUGACAGUGAUGAUGAUCUCUUCUGUCCUCCACAGAGUGGAAGUCCUCUCUUGGGAUUGGUUAUUGGUGAAACCACUUCGCAAUUUAUUAAGAUGGCAAAAGCUUAGGGAGGGGCAGAUUUGAGGGGAAGAUCAAGAUUUUUCUGUCAGUAUUGCAAGUAGUCAAGAAUAUGUGGUCCAAGAAGUGAUCAUUAUCUUUGGCAUUGUGCAAGUCAUUAGUGACCUUCACAUGAACAGUCUCAGUGGAGUGCUGGAGGAAAAAGCCUAACUGAAGAAGGUUCAAGAGUGAAUGGAAAAAGAGCAGUAGUAUGUGGAGAGUACAGACAAGUAUUUCCAGGGGCCUUUCUUUAAAGAGUGGUAGAGAAUGGGACAUCAUUUUUGGAUGGGGGAAGAGUUAUUUAUAGCAUGUUUAUAUGCUAAUGGAAGUGAUCUACUCAUGGGGAAAAUCUUGAUGAUGCAAGAAAGAAAGGGAUUUGUUGGAAUCUUGUCCUAUAACGGGUGAGAGGGGAUGGGUUCUAGAAGAAAAGGUGUGGGUCUUUGUUUGAGGUCAGGCAAUUCAUCUGUAGGAACCAGUAGGAAGAUGGUUAAGUGGGUACCUGUGGUAGUGGAUGUUUGUGAACAUUCUUUUCUUUUCCAUUGUUUCUAUUUUCUCAAUAAAGUGGGAAGCAAAAAUCAGCUGAGUGAAGAUGAGGAAGAAGGUGUUAAAGGUUUGAAGAAAAAAGGAAAAGGAUAUACUAAUCUAAAAGGACAAGUAAGUAGAACAUAGAUAAUGAAAAUGCUGGCCCUUAGGAUUGUUGGGCCUAAAUGCUUAUAUUAUAUUAGUAGUCACAAAUUUGAACUUUCUCUAGAGCCAAUUUUUGCAUGUGUGUGCAGGCCUGGAGUAGUUGGAGAGUUGGAUUUAAUAGAAUUGAGGGUCAAGCAAGCAACUACAACCAGGGAAGAGUGGGACAAGGGAGAUAAAGGAUAUUGGCAGGGGAGCAAUUAUAAACAUGGACCAUGAUCAAAACUGGAUAGGAAGGAAAAUAGGGAUAAGAGGGGUGGAAGGUUAAAAAUAGUGAAAAUGAGAUAGAAUGAAUAGGUUGUAGGUCCCUGUAAAGUUGAAGAAGUAUUAUUAUGCAGUACUCGUUAUUGAAAUGAGGUCACUAUGCUUAAGGCACAGUAAAUCUUAGAAAAUAGUGGUUUUGUUUCUCAUUAGGCAAUACAUUCCUCUUUGCUCCAGAUUGCAACAUACAUGUAUCCUUUUCUGUACUAUUUUUUAUUAAGAAUUCAUACUUAAUUCCACUGACUGCCACUCAAUUUUAAUGUACAGUAGGGAAUUCCUGUACUAUGUAUUAUGAAUCCAUUCCUUUGAAUUUCAUUUAUAAUACUCAUGACUGACACCUGGCUUUCCACCAAGACUCAAUUUUCAUAGCAAGCCUCAUCAUCAUAAGCCCCCAAAUUAACAGGAUGAGGAGGAAGAAUUGGCAGGCUAAAGAAGAUGAUUAUAUCAAUUAAUGCAGAAAACGCAUUUGAUAAAAUCCAAUAUUCGUUUGUAAUUAAAAACUCUCAGCAAGUUAGGAAUAGAUAGGAAUUACUUCAACUUAAUGAAGAGUGUCUUUAAAAACCUUGAGUAUUUUCAUCAAUUAUUAUCUGGUGGUGAAUGUUGCUAAGGAGGGAAGCUAUACAUGUGUGGGGAAAGGAGAUGUGUGAGCAAUUUCUGUACCUUCUACUCAAUCUUCUGUGAGCCUAAAAUUGCUGUAAAAAAUAAAGUUCAUAUUUUUAAAAA